GGUACCACCUUGAUGAUCUUGGAAACAAUCUGGGGCAAUUAUCUGGAUUGCUAGGCAGAGACUCUUGUUCUCUUCCCUUACUUUCUCCCAAUCAAAUGGAGUCUUUCUCUCUGUUCUGAGCCUUCUAAAUUUGGGGUUGAAGUGACACAAGCACCUCUGUCACCACCACCACUACGAAUGCACUAAGUCAGAUCUCAAGCCAGCACAGCUCUGGGUCUUGUCCAAGGCCUGCUCUUACCACUUCCUGGCUACCACCUAUGUUUGCUCAAAGUCCUGGGGCUCUAUCACCAGCAGGUGGCAAAACUAGCCGGGCCUGUGUUCUUCCCUUCAGGGUGAUGAAGUUCCCAAGGCCCCAGGUGGGUCCAGAGGUGCUGUCCGGCAGUCAGUGGCUAGAGUCAAAAACCUUAGAAAUCUACCUGGUGUUCUAUUGUACUGCAACUGAGCUGGCCCUCAAACAAGACACAGCUCUUCCCACUUUUUUCUCCCCUCUGCAAAGGCAGAGGAGCCUCAUCCUGCGGCCACUGCCACCACAUGGCCAUGCGGAGUACUGCCAGACUACUGCUGAUACUCCCUUUAGUCCCAAGGGCUCCCAAGUCAGCUUGUGGUGAAUGUUGCCUGGCCUGAGACUCACCGUUCAGGGCAGUAGACUCCCCUGUGGCCCAAGACAGGUCCAGAAAUGCCAUGCCAGAGUCAAGUACUGGAAUCGGGGACCACAAGAACCUGUUUGAUGUUCUACCCCCUUGUGGCCAAGUUUGUACCAAAGGUGGAAGACAAAGUCCACUUUACUUUUCCCUCUAGUUUUCUCAAGCAGAAGGAGUUUCACUCUGUAGUCACCAGAGCUGAGAAUGUGCUGAGUCUCACCUGAAACCAGCAAGUCUCAGAGGCUCUCCCAAAGCCCUCAACCUAGUAUCUGGGUAGUGCUGCUGGUUAUUCAGGGCCCAAGGGCUCUUCAGUUAGCAGGUGAUGAAUGCUGCCAGGACUGGGUUCUUCCCUUCAAGGCAGUGAGUUCCCUUCUGGCCGAGGGCAUGUCUAGAAAUGUCAUCCGGGAGGCAGGGUCUGGAAAGGGGACUUCAGGACUCUGACUGGUGCCCUAUCCUGCUGUGCCUAAGCUGCUAUCUGAUUCAAGACAAAGCUCUCCCCAUUCUUCCCUCUCCUCAAGCAGAAGUAAGGGCAGUCUUUUGGAGCCAUGAGCUGUGCAGCCUGGGGUUAAAGGACAGUGAUGCCAGCACUUUCUUUCUUUCUUUUCUCUUCUUUUCUUUUUUUUUUUAGCUGGAGUCUCCCUCUGUCACCCUGGCUGGAGUGCAGUCACGCAAUCUCAGCUCACUGCAUCCUCUGCCUCCCAGGUUCAAGCAAUUCUCCUGCCUUAGCCUCCUGAAUAGCUGGGAUUACAGGCAUGCACCACCAUGCCUAAUUUUUGUACUGAUGCCAGCACUUUCUUAGCAACCCCAGCUGGUGUCCUAGUAUGCCCCCUCCAGUCCACUGUCUCUGGGCCCAGUUCAGCGCUAGGACUUGCUUAAGAGUUUCAGUCCUUGUAGCCUAUACUGCCUUUCACGUUUAUUUAGAGAUCUAGAGCACUUUAACCCUCAGUGGCAAGGUUUGUGGGAACUUGAGUUCGGACCACUGGGAUUGGCAAUUCCCCUCUGGCUAGGGUUGCUUUAAAUGCUCCCUUCACGUGUGGGCAUCAGCUGAGUUUGGUCCAGUUUUCCUUUCUGCUCUAACAGGACAGCACUGAGUUGAAUGCCUCACAAUUGCUGUGCUCUCUCUCCUCCGGCACACAGAAAUGCUCUCUGCAUCAUGCUGCUUCUGUCAGGGGUGGUGCCAGCAAUUCAAGACCUUUUUUUUCUGUCUCUUCAGUGCCUCUUUCAGUGAUAUGAAGUUAAAACGAGGUACUAUACUAUGAGUGCUCACCUGAUUUUUGGUUCUCAUGAAGGUGCUUUUUUUGUGUAGAUACUUGUUAAAUUUGUGUCCUUCUUGUUGUGAAGAUCGGUAGAGCCUUCUAUUCUACCAUCUUGCUCUGCCUCCUGAUUCUGAAGCUUGAUUCCUUUUUCUCUUUGUAACUUCAAAAAUAUUGAACUUUCCUCAGGGCUCAAUUCUGGGCCCCUUCUACCUCUUCUAUAAACAAUCUUCCCAAGGACUUCUUACACACUCAUGGCUUUAAACAGCCCUUUUUUUUUGCCAACAACUCUUAUCGGGGAUCCUACCCCAUUAUUCGUGUAGGUUCUUUCUAUUUUCCCUAAGCGUUGGCCAGCUUGAGAAAUAAAGGGACAGAGUACAAAAGAGAGAAAUUUUAAAGCUGGGCAUCCGGGGGAGACAUCACAUGUCGGUAGGUUCUGUGAUGUCCCACAAGCCACAAAAACCAGCAAGUUUUUAUUAGGGAGUUUCAAAAGGGGAGGGAGUGUGCGAAUAGGUGUGGGUCAGACAUCAAGUACUUUACAAGGUAAUAGAAUAUCACAAGGCAAGUGGAGGCAGGGCGAGAUCACAGGACCACAGGACUGAGGCAAAAUUAAAAUUGCUAAUGAAGUUUCGGGCACCAUUGUCAUUGAUAACAUCUUAUCAGGAGACAGGGUUUUGAGAUCAACGGGUCUGACCAAAAUUUAUUAGGCGGGAAUUUCCUCUUCCUAAUAAGCCUGGGAGCACUAUGGGAGACUGGAGUCUGUUUCACCUCUGCAGUCUCGACCAUAAGAGAUGACCAUGCCCAGGAGGGCCAGUUUAGAGACCCACCCCCAGGUGUGCAUUCUCUUUCUCAGGGAUGUUCCAUGCUGAGAAAAAGAAUUCAGUGAUAUUUCUGCCAUUUGCUUUUGAAAGAAGAGAAAUAUGGCUCUGUUCCACCUGGCUCACCAGCGGUCAGAGUUUAAGGUUAUCUCCCUUAUUCCCUGAACAAUUGCUGUUAUCCUGUUCUUUUUUCAAGGUGCCCACAUUUCAUAUUGCUCAAACACACAUGCUGUACAAUUUGUGCAGUUAAUGCAAUUAUUACAGGGUCCUGAGGCAAUAUACAUCCUCCUCAGCUGACAGGAUUAAGAGAUUAAAGUAAAGACAGGCAUAGGAAAUAACAAGGGUAUUGAUUGGGGAAGUGAUAAGUGUCCAUGAAAUCUUUACAAUUUAUGUUUAGAGACUGUAGUAAAGACAGGCAUAAGAAAUUACAAAAUUAUUAAUUUGGGGAACUAAUAAAUGUCCAUGAAAUCUUCACAAUCUACAUUCUUCUGCCAUGGCUUCAGCCGGUCCCUCCAUUUGGGGUCCCUGACUUCCCGCAACAAACUCUCCAAUUUCUCUCUCUAGCUCAUUCUUAUCUUCUGAGCUUCAGCUAUACUAAUUCAACUACCUGCUUGACAUCUCCAUCUCAUUGUCUCCCUGACAUCUCAAACUCAACAUAUUCAAAACUAAGCUCUUGAUUUAUUCUUUACUCUCCUAGCCCAAAUCUACUCUUCCUUUAUCUUUCUUAUCUCAGGAAAUGGUAGCUCCAUCAACCUAAUGGUUCAUUCCAAGAGCCCUGGAGACCAUCUGGACAUUUUCCUCUCUCUCAUUCACCACUUCUUUUCACGCAAAGUCUAUUUAAAAAAUGUGCACUCUGUCCUUCCCAUGGCUAUCAUUUAAGCCUAAGCAAUCACCAUCUCUUGCCUGAACUAUUUUAAUAGCCUCCUAACUGGUCUCUUCAUUUUCUCUCAUCUCAUCCUAUUAUAAACUCACCACAGGGCAACCAGAUUGACCUUUUAAAAAUGUAAAUCAGAUCAUACCACUCCCCUGUUUAAAUCUUUUAAUGGUUUCCCAUUUCACUUGAAAUCCAAAUCCCUUAAGAUGGCCUACAAAGUUCUGCACUAUCUCCAGAGAUUAUCUCUCUAAACUCAUCUCACGACCUUAUUUUCCUCAUACUCAAACUCCAGCUACACUGGCCUUCUUCCUUUUCCUCAAACAUCCUAUUCUCCUGUUUCCCUCUCAAGAUCUUAGCACACAUCCUUUUGACUUGGACACUUUCCCUCUAUUUCUUUGCAUGUGUCACUUCUUAUCUUUCAGCUGUCUGGUUAAAUGUGAAUUUCCCAGAGAAUCUUGCCUCGAGGCCCCAAACUAAGCCAGGCAAUUUCCUCAUUGUGAUCUAUCAUGCCAUUAUUUACUUAAUAAUGCUUUUCAUAAUCUAUAAUUAUGCUUUCAAUUUUGUGAUUAUUUAUUUAACAUCUAUCUCCCUCCAAGUGCUGUGAAGAGAGUUCCACCCACCAAGGGAGAUGGACUUCAAGGAAGUUUCUCUGUGUUCUACUUUAAGUCAGUUGACUUGUUACAGAAUCUCUACAAUCUUCACUUUCUAUUUCUAUAGAGAACCAUGUCUAGCUCAGACUACCUCUUCCCUCCUGCCCCUGCCAAGCAAUGUGUCACUGGAAUUGAAUAGUCACAAUUACUUUGGGUUUCAGAAAAGCCAGCACCCCUGCCUCAUUAACCAGAUGGCUGGGAUAAGACUCUUGAUUUUGAAAAUUCAACAACCAGAGUUCAGCUAUUUGCAGUGAUUUGCAGUCAUUUGUCACUAUCAAAAAGGAAAAUAACUAAAAUGUGGUGUGUUGGCAUUAGUUACUUACUAAUGAGCAAGAUCAGCACCUGCAUUUCAGCUUGGCUCUGUCAUUUUCUAUUUAUUGGAAGAAUGGUGUUGUGGUUAAGUGUGUGGUGUGUAGAGGAAGACUAUUUGUUUUUUUGUCUUGUUUUGUUUUUAUUGAAAUAUAGCAUGCAUACUGAAAAAUGCACAAAUCAUAUGUGCAGAGCUCACUGAAUUUCACAGAAUGAAUACACCCAUGCAAUAGCACUCAGAUCAAGAGACAGAACAUUAGCAGCACCCCCAGAAGGACCACCCCCAGGAUCCCUUCCAGUAACCACACCCCCUCCAGUAGAAACUAUUAUCCUUACUUCUAACAUCACAGAUUACUUUUGCUUGGUUUUGUAACUUAUAUAAAUGAAAUCACACCAUAUCUACUCUUCGUGAUUAUUUUCACUCAACAUUAUGUUUGUGAUAUCCAUUCGUAUUGUUACAAUAGUUGUUGUUGGUUAACUCUCAUUGCUGUAUAGUAUUACAUUGUGUAAAUAUACCAAAAUUUAUUUAUUCAAUUCAUUGUACUAUUCAUGGUUAUUAGUUUGCAAUUAUUGGCAAUUAUGAAUAAUGCUGCUAUAACCAUUUCUUUAUAUUCUUUGUAGUGAACAUGCAUGUAUUUCUGUUGUUAUAUAUUUAGGAAUGAAACUGCUGUGUCAUUUUGUGUGCAUAUAUUCAAAUAUAAUAGUUGUUGCCAAACACUUUUUCAAAGUGGUUGUACCACUUUGCAUUUCCACCAGCAGUGUAUGAGUGUUCUAGUUGCUCUAAAUUCUCACCAACACUUGGCAUUUUGGUAUUUUUUAUUUUAGCCAAUGUGGUGAUCAUGUGGUGACCUCUCAUUAUGGUUUCCUUUUGCAUUUCUCUGAUGACUAAUGAAAUUGAGAAUCUUUUCAAUAUAUGUUGACUGGCCAUUGUACAUCUUGUUUUGUUUGUCUUUUAGAUGUCUUUUGUCAUUGAUUUGUAAGGGCUCUUUAUGUAUUCUGGAUAUGAAUCUUUUGUCAAAUAUAUGCAUUGCAAAUAUAUACUUUUUUACUUAUUGAUAUCUUUAAUUUGUUUUAAGAAAAUUUUUAAUUUUUAUGGAAAUUUUAUAGAAAUGCUGAAAAUCAAACGUUAUCUGCAGUGGUAACAGUCUGACUUCUAAACUGCUAUAUGUAAUAGAAGAACAAUACAUAAUUGUUGUAUAUAUUUAUGAGGUACAUGUAAUAUUUUGAUACAAGCAUAAAAUAUGUAAUGAUUGUUGAUCUCUUUUAAUGAACAGAAUUCCUUAAUCAUAAC
rnacentral:lncRNA from 1 species